rnacentral:rRNA from 1 species
GACGAACGCUGGCGGCGUGCUUAACACAUGCAAGUCGAACGGAAAGGCCCCUUUGGGGGUACUCGAGUGGCGAACGGGUGAGUAACACGUGAGUAACCUGCCCUUGACUUCGGGAUAACUUCAGGAAACUGGGGCUAAUACCGGAUAGGAAUCCUUGCUGCAUGGUGGGGGUUGGAAAGCUUCGGCGGUUUUGGAUGGACUCGCGGCUUAUCAGCUUGUUGGUGGGGUAGUGGCUUACCAAGGCCUUGACGGGUAGCCGGCCUGAGAGGGCGACCGGCCACAUUGGGACUGAGAUACGGCCCAGACUCCGACGGGAGGCAGCAGUGGGGAAUAUUGCACAAUGGGCGGAAGCCUGAUGCAGCAACGCCGCGGGCGGGAUGACGGCCUUCGGGUUGUAAACCGCUUUCAGCAGGGGCGAAGCUUGUGGUGACGGUACCUGCAGAAGAAGCACCGGCUAACUACGUG